GACCACACUAUCAAUGAAUGGAUUCACCCGCGAAAUGACGUGGUUGUUUCAUCUAGGACGAGGAUAUGGCAUCCUAUUACUAGCCAUCGCACGAAAAUUAAUAGGAUGCCACGUUCUCAUCCUAGAUGGAACAACCACGUCAUCUCACGGGUGAAUCCAUUUAUUGAUAGUGUGGUU
rfam:Oryza barthii chromosome 1, whole genome shotgun sequence.